rnacentral:rRNA from 1 species
UGGGGAAUAUUGCACAAUGGGCGAAAGCCUGAUGCAGCAACGCCGCGUGAGCGAUGAAGGCCUUCGGGUCGUAAAGCUCUGUCCUCAAGGAAGAUAAUGACGGUACUUGAGGAGGAAGCCCCGGCUAACUACGUGCCAGCAGCCGCGGUAAUACGUAGGUGGCGAGCGUUAUCCGGAUUUACUGGGUGUAAAGGGUGCGUAGGCGGGUUUGCAAGUCAGACGUGAAAUACCGAAGCUUAACUUCGGGGCUGCGUUUGAAACUGUAGAUCUUGAGUGAAGUAGAGGUAAGCGGAAUUCCUAGUGUAGCGGUGAAAUGCGUAGAUAUUAGGAGGAACACCAGUGGCGAAGGCGGCUUACUGGGCUUUAACUGACGCUGAGGCACGAAAGCAUGGGGAGCAAACAGG